CUUUCGAGCCGGACCCGCCCUUUAUUCCCGCCGUUUCUACUUAGUAUUGUUUGUGGUUUGGCGCCAUUUUUAUUUGAAUACCUGAAACUGAGAGAAACACGGAACCUCAUCCGUAGGUAUUAGUUGAGUGUAACACAGAGUGUGUUUCUUGCUACCAUAUCCGGAACGCUCAUUAGUGAAAACAGCGUUUUUUUUUUUUUGCUUUGAAUCAUUUCAGCUUUUCCUCUACUAGUAGUAGCGGUACUGCGGUAGCAGCUGCAGCUUGCAAGAGAGGAAGCUCUCUAGGGUUUUUUUCCCCUCACUUCUCUCUCAUAAUCCAUGAAUUCUCGGGAGCUCGCCCUCGUCUCCACGGCUGCCGUUCUCGGCGCCGCCGCUUAUGCUAUGGCAAUUCGUUUCCUCUUCAAUCCGAAAAGGGACUUUUAUCGAAUUGAAUCGACACAGAACGGCACGGUUGUUAAGAAAUCUCCGUCUCAGAGCCCUUUCGAUCCCUCCAAACGGAAAGGAUACUUGUCGUGGGAUGAUUAUUUCAUGGCGAUUGCAUUUCUAUCAGCGCAGCGAUCCAAGGAUCCAAACAGGCAGGUUGGAGCAUGUUUGGUUAGUGAACAUGGGAUAAUACUUGGCAUUGGCUAUAAUGGAUUUCCAAGAGGUUGUUCAGAUGACAAGCUUCCUUGGGCAAAGAAAUCCGAGACGGGGGAUCCUCUAGAGACAAAAUAUCCUUAUGUCUGUCAUGCUGAAGUUAAUGCCAUUCUGAACACAAAUCAUGCAUCUGCUGCAGGACAGAGGCUUUAUGUGACAAUGUUCCCUUGCAAUGAAUGUGCAAAGAUAAUUAUCCAGUCAGGUGUUUCUGAAGUGAUAUAUUUUGUGGAGAAGAGGUUGAAACAGUCAGAUACAGCAUAUAUAGCUUCUCACAGACUGUUAUCAAUGGCUGGUGUUAAAGUAAGCAUUGCUCAUUGCUUUAAUUAUUCUUCAUUUUUUCUUCACCUUUUUUUACCAGAACCAAGCCAUCUUUGGACCAAGUUGAGAGAAAGUGAUCAUACUCAAUGAAGCAAGGCCUUUGCUCUGCCAUUUUUCAUCAUGUUUUUGCAUGACAUGGUGAUUCUUACACUUUGAGAAGUUAGGAAGCACCAGCCACAGAUGAAUCAAAUAUUAAUCAAGUUUGAGGAGCUCUAGAAGUGUACCUGACUCAACCCUGAUUAUUGUUUCUGUAUACUGUAAAGUUUUCUUCAGUUCACAUCCAAAACAUGCUGGUCACUGUGAAAUAUCUUAAAUUAUUGACAUAUCUACGACCAAGAAAUGAGGCUUGUUGAAUUUAUUGUUGAGUAUAUUAUAACUCAUAACCUUUGGGCCUCA